rnacentral:tRNA from 1 species
UCACUAAGAAGCUAAACGGAACAGCGUUAGCCUUUUAAGCUAAAGAGUGGUGUUUACCACACACCCUUAGUG